rnacentral:rRNA from 1 species
GGUAACACGUAUCCAACCUGCCCUUUACUCGGGGAUAGCCUUUCGAAAGAAAGAUUAAUACCCGAUAGUAUAAUGAUUCCGCAUGGUUUCAUUAUUAAAGGAUUCCGGUAAAGGAUGGGGAUGCGUUCCAUUAGGUUGUUGGUGAGGUAACGGCUUACCAAGCCUUCGAUGGAUAGGGGUUCUGAGAGGAAGGUCCCCCACAUUGGAACUGAGACACGGUCCAA